rnacentral:rRNA from 1 species
AGUGAACGCUGGCGGUAGGCCUAACACAUGCAAGUCGAACGGCAGCACAGUAAGAGCUUGCUCUUACGGGUGGCGAGUGGCGGACGGGUGAGGAAUACAUCGGAAUCUACUUUUUCGUGGGGGAUAACGUAGGGAAACUUACGCUAAUACCGCAUACGACCUACGGGUGAAAGCAGGGGAUCUUCGGACCUUGCGCGAUUGAAUGAGCCGAUGUCGGAUUAACUAGUUGGCGGGGUAAAGGCCCACCAAGGCGACGAUCCGUAGCUGGUCUGAGAGGAUGAUCAGCCACACUGGAACUGAGACACGGUCCAGACUCCUACGGGAGGCAGCAGUGGGGAAUAUUGGACAAUGGGCGCAAGCCUGAUCCAGCCAUACCGCGUGGGUGAAGAAGGCCUUCGGGUUGUAAAGCCCCUUUGUUGGGAAAGAAAAGCAGCAGGUUAAUACCCCGCUGUUCUGACGGUACCCAAAGAAUAAGCACCGGCUAACUUCGUG